AGUGAACGCUGGCGGUAGGCCUAACACAUGCAAGUCGAACGGCAGCACAGUAAGAGCUUGCUCUUACGGGUGGCGAGUGGCGGACGGGUGAGGAAUACAUCGGAAUCUACUUUUUCGUGGGGGAUAACGUAGGGAAACUUACGCUAAUACCGCAUACGACCUACGGGUGAAAGCAGGGGAUCUUCGGACCUUGCGCGAUUGAAUGAGCCGAUGUCGGAUUAGCUAGUUGGCGGGGUAAAGGCCCACCAAGGCGACGAUCCGUAGCUGGUCUGAGAGGAUGAUCGGCCACACUGGAACUGGGACACGGUCAAGACUCCUACGGGAGGCAGCAGUGGGGAAUAUUGGACAAUGGGCGCAAGCAUGAUCCAGCCAUACCGCGUGGGUGAAGAAGGCCUUCGGGUUGUAAAGCCCUUUUGUUGGGAAAGAAAAGCAGCAGGUUAAUACCCAGCUGUUCUGACGGUACCCAAAGAAUAAGCACCGGCUAACUUCGUG
rnacentral:rRNA from 1 species